GUCGAGAAUCUUUCACAAUGGGGGCAACCCUGAUGGAGCGACGCCGCGUGGAGGAUAAGGUCUUCGGAUUGUAAACUCCUGUCAUGCGUGAACAAGGUUGCUUGGAUAAUACCUGAGCAAAUUGAUGGUAGCGCAAGAGGAAGAGACGGCUAACUCUGUGCCAGCAGCCGCGGUAAUACAGAGGUCUCAAGCGUUGUUCGGAAUCACUGGGCGUAAAGGGUGCGUAGGUGGCGUGGCAAGUCAGAUGUGAAAGCCCGGGGCUCAACCUCGGAACUGCAUCCGAUACUGCCAUGCUAGAGUACUGGAGGGGUGACUAGAAUUCUCGGUGUAGCAGUGAAAUGCGUAGAUAUCGAGAGGAAUACCAAAGGCGUAGGCAGGUCACUGGACAGUUACUGACACUGAGGCACGAAGGCCAGGGGAGCAAACGGGAUUAGAAACCCCGGUAGUCC
rnacentral:rRNA from 1 species